CUCUCUCUCUCUCUCUCUCUCUCUCUCUCUCUCUUGCGGCGAUUCAGAAACAUGAAGCUAUCUCCACCAGAUCUGUUUGAGAUUUUGCUUUCUUCAGCUGCUAUUGAUGGUGGUUGUCUGGUUAAGUUGGUAUUCCGACCACUCGACAACCGUAAGGUAAGAUUUGCUGUUGAUUGUGGUUAUUUCCUUUGAAGAUUUGACUGUUGUUAUUUCCUAUGAACAUGUGUUCACCACAGAUCGACGGAGAAGAGGUGCAACUGACACUUUUAGAUCUACGGCCCCCAAACCCUAAUGCGUUCAAACAUUCAGAUCUGGUAUAAGAUCGACGGAGAAGAGGUGCAACUGACACUUUUAGAUCUACGGCCCCCAAACCCUAAUGCGUUCAAACAUUCAGGUCUGGUAUAAGAUCAACGGCGAAGAGGUGCAACUGAGCUUUUAGAUCUGCAGCUCACAAACCCUAAUACGGUCAAAUGUGGUUUGUUCGAAGCCUAGGCAAGUCAACCUCUUCAGUUCCACCUUGAACGGGCCUGCUAUGAAUUAAAGACGACAAAUGUGCUAAAAGACAAGGCAGAAAGGUUGCCUGUGGGAGCUGCCAAGAACAUCAAAUCUCCCUCCCUUCAUUCCAGUAUUACUAAUUCUUCGGGUGAUAUUUUAUCAAAUGUUGGAGUUGAGCGGUCCCAUGGUCAAAUGAUGCCAUAUGAAGAAACUGAUUCCAAUGGUUCAAACAACCCAUUAAAACCAAACACAAUUAAUAAACGUAGUUCAACCCAAAAUAAUAGCAGAGGCAACACUGGUGAAUUUGUUGAUGAAUGGGUUGAGCAGGAUGAACCUGGUGUUUAUAUGACGUUUACAUCUUUACCAGGAGGCGCCAAAGAUCUUA